UCUAGGUCAGUACCCUAGAGUCCAUGGGUCCACUAUUCCUCUGCGUCUCAUUUCUCUGAAGUGGGAAACUCCCUGGACUACCUAUUCCUGCACUUAUUACCCUCAUUCUACAGUGUACUGAAGAGGAUCUUCAGUGGUCUGGGGGUUUUGUUUGUUUGAGACAGGGUCUCCCUCUGUCAUUCAGGGUGGAGUGCAGUGGUGCAAUCAUAGCUCACUGCUGCCUCAACCUCCCAGGCUCAAGUGAUUCUCCUGCUUCAGCCUCCCAAGUAGCUGAGACUACAGUUGCCUGGACAACAUACAGCCUCCCGAAACCCAACCUUCCAGCCCUCAGUCCUGCCCUCAAGAGAAAUUUGCCACCAAGGAUUGGCUCCCAGGACCCAGGCCCCGCCUCGGACUCCUCGCUAGUUGGGCCUUCUCUCUGCCACUCCCCACGAGUGGGUCACUCCACGGGGAGCCCCAACACUGGCAGGAGAGGAUCCUACAGGACAACAAGGAGAUGCCACCUAAAAACAAAGAAAAAGGGAAGAAAUCUGGGGCACAGAAGAAGAAAAUGAACUGGGGUGCAGAUGUGGAGGCCGAGUCCAGGCACAGGCUGGUGGUAUUGGAGAAGGAGCUGCUCCGAGACCACUUGGCUCUACGGAGGGAUGAAGCCCGUCGAGCCAAGGCUUCCGAAGACCAGCUGAGGCAGAGGCUGCAAGGGGUGGAGGCUGAGCUGGAAGGGGCCUGAAGUGAAGGGAAGGCCAUAUAUGCAGGUGUGUGGUCGGUUAAGCAGGUGGGCAGGAGACAGGGGCGUGGAGGAGGACAACCAACAGGGUCAGUUCAUGCAAGGAAGGGAAACAAGGAGGGCUUCCGACUGCCAGGCCUGGUCUUGGUCUUUCCCGAACAGUACAAAUCAGGAAGGAUCCUGCAGGAACCAAAGGCAUGUAAGUUCCUCGAUCCCAGGCAGGGGCCUUCCAGGAUGCCUGGUGCCAUGUGCUUGAUGCUGUGUAGGAUACACAUGCAGUCAUAGCCAUCAUCUCAAUCAUCCCAUGGGAGGGGAGAAGGGCUAGCAUCCCCAUCCAAAGCUGGACUUGGGGAGGUAGGUCGGGCUUCCUGUCCCUUCCUCAGGUUUUCAUGGUCUGCAGCUUCUCAGAAUCACAAAAAGAACCAAGAAGGCCUUUGUGCUCCUGUUCCACUAGACCAAGUAGAGUCUUCCCCACCCACAACUUCAUUUCCUUUCUCCAUCCCUCCAUCUCCAACCUGGGUCCCUGGUGGCCCACUGCCCCCACCCCAGAGAUGAGUCGCCAGUGCCAUGCCCUGCAAGAGGAUAUGCAAACCCGCAGCAAGCAGCUGGAGGAAGAAGUCAAAGGCCUUCAGGGGCAGCUAGAGGCAUGCCAAAGGGAGGCUGCAGCUGCCCAGGAAGAGGCUGAACAAGCUCUCGGAGAGCGGGACCAGGCCCUGGCUCAGCUUCGGGCCCACGUGGCAGACAUGGAGGCGAAGUAUGAGGAAAUCUUACACGACAGUCUGGACAGGCUCUUGGCCAAGCUGAGAGCCAUCAAGCUGCAGUGGGAUGGGGCGGCACUGAGACUCCACGCCAGGCACAAGGAGCAGCUACGCCAGUUUGGACUCACCCCCCUGGAUCUUUGAGGCCACCAGCCCCUAGUCUCUAGUGUUCUCUGAGGCCCCAGCAAUAAAGUGUCUUGAUGUAGAACUCAAUAGA
rnacentral:sRNA from 1 species